GGGCAUGUAGCUCAGUUGGUAGAGCGCGUCAUUAGCAUCUGGCUAGCAUUGACGAGGUCUUUGGUUCGAUUCCUAACCUGUCCA
rnacentral:tRNA from 1 species